GUGCUCACUUCUGAAGCACAUAUACUAAAAUUGGAGCAAUAUAGAGAAGAUUAGCAUGGCCACUGUGCAAAAAAAUACAAAUAUACAUAUAUAUAUAUAUAUAUUG